GGACGUGAGGGUGAUCUGGCUGCGAUAUCUGUCACCCCAUUGAUUGCCAGGGUUGAUUCGCCUGAUCUGGCUGGCUAAGCGGGUGUCUCUUUCUGUCCUCACCACUUCAUGUGUGUCCCUCCCAAAGCUGCAUGCUUGGUCGAAGAGGACGACCAUCCCCAAUAGAGGAGGACUGGUCUUCCGUCAAGAGUAUACGAGUAGCUGCGCUCUCCUGCUAGAACCUCCAAACAAGCGCUCAAGGACAUGAAAAUAGAUAAGGAAGUAGAAUGAAGAAUGAAGAGGGAAGUUCAUUUUUUGAGGCAACUAAAAUGAUCUUU
rfam:Pongo abelii chromosome 20.